UACGGGGGGGGCAAGCGUUGUUCGGAAUUACUGGGCGUAAAGGGCCAGUAGGCGGCCAACUAAGUCCGACGUGAAAUCCCAAGGCUUAACCUUGGAACUGCGUCGGAUACUGGAUGGCUUGAAUCCGGGAGAGGGAUGUGGAAUUCCAGGUGUAGCGGUGAAAUGCGUAGAUAUCUGGAGGAACACCGGUGGCGAAGGCGGCAUCCUGGACCGGUAUUGACGCUGAGGAGCGAAAGCCAGGGGAGCAAACGGG
rnacentral:rRNA from 1 species